rnacentral:snRNA from 1 species
GGAUGUGAGGGCAAUCUGGCUGUGACAUCUGCCACCUCAUUGGUUGCCAGUGUGGAUCUGGCUGAUCAGGCUGGCUAGGCAGAUGUGUCCUUCCCUCACCACUCCCUGUCCACUCCUCCCUAAGCUGCACAUAAUCAAAGAAAAUAACAUUCGCCUAUGGGGAAAGACCAUUCUUUGGUCAAGAGCAUAAGUAGCUGCACUCUCCUUCUGAGACCUGCAAGCUCUCAGAAGGCAGACACAUGAGGCAGGAUGGGAGGUGGAGGCAGUGCAG